AAGGCUUUAAGUUAAUUAAACUAAUAGCCUUCAAAGCUAUAAAUAUAAGUCUUCUCUUUUAAGCCUUA
rnacentral:tRNA from 1 species